GCAGGAAAAAAGAACAGAAAAAUCUCCAGUACCCUUCAUUCGACUUGGAAUCGAUCCAUAAGAAAAAUUAAUGAUGUAUUUUUCAUCAUGAUUUUUCGUUGAGUAUAUCGAGUUUCUCAUAUUUUAAUUCAUUGAAUUCAGCAUUAUCAUCGGAAUGAUUCCCUUGAAUAGCUGCUGUUAUGCACUUUCAUUGAGAGCAGGCACAAUCACCCUGUUAUGUGUUUAUGUGGUAAAUGAUUGAAAUUUUUAAAAAUAAAUUUUCACUAGCUCUGAUGAUGAAUUAAAGUCUGAUCUACUUAACUCGAAUUAUUAUUAUGUAAAUUAAUUGCUCAUCUAAUCGACUUCUUUUUUUCAGUGGCUUGCACUUACCUACAUUAUACUUUUAUUACAAUUUUUCCAUGAACAUACUGUCCCAGUUUCUAUCCUGAUUGGUAUAAUUUUCAUCACUUGGACUGUCUGUGCUUGUGUAGGACUUUACGGAGUCGUCAAUAGGAAAAAUGGGUAUUAUUUAAUCCCGGAAAUCGCGGUAGAUUUGCUGGAUAUUUUUCUACGUAUAAUCAACUUAAUUUUUCACCUUUUCACAAAGAAGCUCGCAAUACCACGUUACACCGUGUUUGGAACAAAUUGGGCAGGUACUCCAGCAACCAACAGCACCGCUGAUGGUAGUAUUACUUCGAUUGUGUAUAAUUUAUUCGACGAAAAAUACCCACUUCCCGAUGUAUUCGCUGCUUUGG